GACCCCGCAAUAGAUCCCAAAAGGUAUGGAAUGAUAUGAAAAGCAGGGUGAAAAUCUACGCCACAUCGAUGGCGGCAACGACUGGGGCAGAGGCCCUUCCAGCAAUCAAAGGACACCAACUCUAGCGCAAACGAGCUGAUGAGCAUCGGAGCAGAGCUGGGUGGAAUUCUUAUGCGUUGAGGAGCUGCGAGCUUGCAAAGCAUUCUUGCAGCAAAUGAAUGCUGGCAGGGUGCAGGCUGAGGCAGCCAUUAUUUCUGCCAAAGCAGAUGAUCUGCAUGCCCAAUCCGUAGCUGUCAUUUGCGAAGCAAUUACCGAGUUGGUGCCUGCAGUUAACCUUUUUGAUAGAAUAUUUAACAAGAAUGACAGACUUCUUUGAAGAAUAAAAACCAAAGGUUGCUCUG